rnacentral:rRNA from 1 species
AUACGUAGGUGACAAGCGUUAUCCGGAUUUACUGGGCGUAAAGGGCGUGUAGGCGGUCUUGCAGGUCAGAAGUGAAAUUCCUGAGCUCAACUCGGGCGCUGCUUCUGAAACUGCAGGACUUGAGUGCUGGAGGGGAUAGCGGAAUUCCUAGUGGAGCGGUAAAAUGCGCAGAUAUUAGGAAGAACACCGGUGGCGAAGGCGGCUAACUGGACAGUAACUGACGCUGAGGCGCGAAAGCGUGGAGAGCAAACAGGAUUAGAUACCCGGGGUUUCCACGCCGUAAUCGAUGAAUACUAGGUGUAGGGGGUAUCGACUCCCUCUGUGCCGCAGUUAACACAAUAAGUAGUCCGCCUGGGGAGUACGGCCGCAAGGUUGAAACUCAAAUGAAUUGACGUGG